GUGUCAGCAGCCGCGGUAAAACGUAGGAGGCAAGCGUUAUCCGGAUUCACUGGGCGUAAAGCGCGUGCAGGCGGUUCGGUAAGUUGGGCGUGAAAUCUCCCGGCUCAACUGGGAGAGGUCGUUCAAUACUACCGGACUUGAGAGCAGAAGAGGAAAGUGGAAUUCCCGGUGUAGUGGUGAAAUGCGUAGAUAUCGGGAGGAACACCAGUGGCGAAGGCGACUUUCUGGUCUGUUUCUGACGCUCAGACGCGACAGCUAGGGUAGUAAACGGGAUUAGAGACCCCGGUAAUCCUAGCCGUAAACGAUGUAAACUUGGUGUCGGUGGCUUAAACACUAUCGGUACCGCAGCUAACGCGAUAAGUUUACCGCCUGGGGACUACGAUCGCAAGAUUAAA
rnacentral:rRNA from 1 species